GGAUUUUCACAACAGGAGGAGAACAUCACAGAAAUAAACACGACGAGGCGUGAUCCGAAGCUGUGUUGGUGCUCCGAUCAUAAGAGUGAGACGGUCGCGGCGCUCAGUCAGUCCUGCCACCAGUCACCGCUCAGCCUCGGAUGGCAAGGGGCACACGCUUACCUUUCCGACCCGGGUAUCCCCCUUAUCUUUCAUUAGUGAUGAUUCUGUGACGCCUCUGGACGGCUGUGUGUCCCUGGCAUUCCUGCAACACACAUACAGACACCUUCAUUGACCACAGGAUUGACCGGACUCAGUUAAAUUGUACCGUGUGCGGCGUUGCGGUUCAUUACACCUGUCACAACGAGCGGCGCCAUCAGGCCACCACACACACACACACACACACACAGAGAGCAGCAGCAGCACCAGGAUCGGGUGAGCGGAGCCAGACCUUCCCAUCACCAGCAGGUCAAAUGAAGGAAAGAGUUUUAAGUGCAGAAAAGUGAAAAUGUUUCAGAUAAAGUGAAGGAACACAAGUGAAAUGUUCGGAAAGUGUAAUCUGACAAAGAAAGGGCAGGAAGAAAGAAUGAAGAGGGCAAGGCGCAGCGGUACAGAAGGCAGGGACCAAGGAAGGAUUCGAAUCAAGUUUCCAACAAGAACGAGGAGGAGGAGGAGAAAGGAAACCGGAACAAGGAGACAUGAAAGUUGGCGGUGCGUGUGGCUGUGGUGAGCGGCGGCGGCGGCGACGGCGGUGGCGGCGACGACGACGACGACGACGACGACGUGUGGCGUGGCGAGCGGGUUUCUGCAGUAUCCCUCUCCUUCCCGUUUUCUGUUAUUCCCCGUUCUCUUCCUCCGCCUAGUGUACUGCUACUCGCUCUUGUACGGUGACUUUUUUUUUUUUCCUUCGUUACAAUAUUUUGUCUGUUUUCUCUUUUCUUUUCUUCUCGUGCUUUUUAUUCACAUUAUUAUUUCUUAUUCUAUUUUGUUUAUUUUGUGUGUUUGUACGUGUGUAUUUUCCUCUUCCACAUUUUAUUUGGAUUUUCUUAAUUUUUCUCGUAUUUUUCUAUUCUCCUAUUCUUCCUUGUAUCACACACACACACACACACACACCGCGUAGUGUAGUGGUUGUUAGCACGCUCGGCUCACAACCAAGAAGGCCUGGGUUCGAAUCCCGGGAGCGACGAGGCAAAUGGGUGAGCCUCUUAAUGUGUAGCCCCUGUUCACCUAGUAGCAAGUAGGUAAGGGAUGUAACCCGAGGGGUUGUGACCUCGCUGUUUCGGUGUGUGGUCACACACAUACACACACACACUUCAUCGUCUCUUACUACCGAUGCCGUUGCUAUGACAAGUAUUUUAUAUUAAAUGAAUUUAUUAUUUAUUAAUUUAUUCGCUUAUUAUUAUUAUUAUUAUUAUUAUUAUUAUUAUUAUUAUUAAAUAAUUUGCAUAUUUAUUUAUCUACAUAUAUUAUUUAUCUACAUAUAUUAUUUUUAUUUUAUUAUUAUUAUUAUUAUUUAUUUUAUUUAUUUAUUUUUAUUUUUGUGUGUGUGUCGGGGAUGAGUUUUACAGCUCUCAUCGCAAGUUGUAUUAAAAUUCAAUAGCCACAUUUGCUCGCUCGUGUAUAUAUUGUUUAGUGUUAUCAGCGGUUCUUAAGAAACAGGAUUUUAAGAGAUUAUAAACUUUACGUGAUAUUAA